UAAGACGGAGGGGGCAAGCGUUGUCCGGAAUUACUGGGCGUAAAGCGCAUGUAGGCGGUCGCGUACGGCGGUGGUGAAAGCUCCCGGCUCAACUGGGAGAGGCCCAUCGCAACGGCGUGACUGGAGGUUGGUAGAGGCAGAUGGAAUUCCUGGUGUAGCGGUGAAAUGCGUAGAGAUCAGGAGGAACACCCGUGGCGAAGGCGGUCUGCUGGGCCAUACCUGACGCUGAGAUGCGAAAGCGCGGGGAGUGAACGGGAUUAGAUACCCCGGUAAUCCGCGCCGUAAACGAUGGAUACUAGGUGUCAGCAGCAUCGACCCUGCUGGUGCCGCAGCUAACGCAGUAAGUAUCCCGCCUGGGGAGUACGGCCGCAAGGUU
rnacentral:rRNA from 1 species